rnacentral:rRNA from 1 species
GCGCGCGAUACAGGGUGACAGCCCCGUACACAAAAGCGCAUGUGCUGUGAGCUCGAUGAGUAGGGCGGGACACGUGGUAUCCUGUCUGAAUAUGGGGGGACCAUCCUCCAAGGCUAAAUACUCCUGACUGACCGAUAGUGAACCAGUACCGUGAGGGAAAGGCGAAAAGAACCCCGGCGAGGGGAGUGAAAAAGAACCUGAAACCGUGUACGUACAAGCAGUGGGAGCACAGGUUUACCUGUGUGACUGCGUACCUUUUGUAUAAUGGGUCAGCGACUUAUAUUCUGUAGCAAGGUUAACCGAAUAGGGGAGCCGCAGGGAAACCGAGUCUUAAUUGGGCGUUAAGUUGCAGGGUAUAGACCCGAAACCCGGUGAUCUAGCCAUGGGCAGGUUGAAGGUUGGGUAACACUAACUGGAGGACCGAACCGACUAAUGUUGAAAAAUUAGCGGAUGACCUGUGGCUGGGGGUGAAAGGCCAAUCAAACCGGGAGAUAGCUGGUUCUCCCCGAAAGCUAUUUAGGUAGCGCCUCGUGAAUUCAUCUCCGGGGGUAGAGCACUGUUUCGGCUAGGGGGCCAUCCCGGCUUACCAACCCGAUGCAAACUGCGAAUACCGGAGAAUGUUAUCACGGGAGACACACGGCGGGUGCUAACGUCCGUCGUGAAGAGGGAAACAACCCAGACCGCCAGCUAAGGUCCCAAAGUCAUGGUUAAGUGGGAAACGAUGUGGGAAGGCCCAGACAGCCAGGAUGUUGGCUUAGAAGCAGCCAUCAUUUAAAGAAAGCGUAAUAGCUCACUGGUCGAGUCGGCCUGCGCGGAAGAUGUAACGGGGCUAAACCAUGCACCGAAGCUGCGGCAGCGACGCUGAUGCGUUGUUGGGUAGGGGAGCGUUCUGUAAGCCUGUGAAGGUGGCCUGUGAGGGUUGCUGGAGGUAUCAGAAGUGCGAAUGCUGACAUAAGUAACGAUAAAGCGGGUGAAAAGCCCGCUCGCCGGAAGACCAAGGGUUCCUGUCCAACGUUAAUCGGGGCAGGGUGAGUCGACCCCUAAGGCGAGGCCGAAAGGCGUAGUCGAUGGGAAACGGGUUAAUAUUCCCGUACUUGGUGUUACUGCGAAGGGGGGACGGAGAAGGCUAUGUUGGCCGGGCGACGGUUGUCCCGGUUUAAGCGUGUAGGUGUGUGUUCCAGGUAAAUCCGGUU